rnacentral:lncRNA from 1 species
CAGAUCCUGGGACUCUACCAUCUCUCCACAAGUACCCCUCCAUGCCAAGGGUGGCAGGAGAAAAGAGACUGGAAAGAUCCAUGGCACCGCCUCUCACAGCCAGUUGGCCAGAACUCAACAUCUGACCUCUCUCAAGGGUGACAGGGAAGCAAGGAAGGGCUGUGGUGAGGACCAGUUGAAAUGACCUCUGUGCCUAAGACCUGUGAAUGACAACGUGUUCUCCACAUACAAAUACAACCACAGACUAAGACUAAACAGAACGGUAGUACUUGAACUUGAACCAUUUAUUGAGCACCUAUUCUUUUAGAGACUUUACAUAGGCUUUCUCUUCUUGGGGUUUGGCUGUGGAUUUAAACAGGAAGAGAAAAAGAAAAGAAACUCCAUUCCAUGUGUGGCAAGCGGUUUGCAA